GCCCCUGUAGCCAAGUGGUAAGGCAGCGGACUUUUAAUCCGAAGAGCGUGGGUUCGAUCCCCACCGGGGGCA
rnacentral:tRNA from 1 species